UACGUAGGGACCAAGCGUUGUCCGGAAUCAUUGGGCGUAAAGAGCGUGUAGGCGGCUUGUUAAGUCUUGCGUGAAAUCUCCCGGCUCAACUGGGAGGGGUCGUGCGAUACGGCGGGGCUCGAGGCCGGUAGGGGGACGCGGAAUUCCCGGUGUAGUGGUGGAAUGCGUAGAUAUCGGGAGGAACACCAGUGGCGCAGGCGGCGUCCUGGACCGGCACUGACGCUGAGGAGCGAAAGCGUGGGGAGCGAUCCGG
rnacentral:rRNA from 1 species